rnacentral:lncRNA from 1 species
UUCACCUUGCCCACCAUUUACUUGCAGAUAGAGUAGUAUACCAUAGAACCUUGUUCCAGAUCCCCCCAAGUCGAUCAGAAUAUUGCAAUUCACCUUGACCAUAGUCUAGUACUACUAGUACUUUGUAGCAGCACUAAGCAUAUCGAGUAACACGAACAAGCUGGAAGCGAUCGCGUAGCCGGACUGGCAAGCGGUCCAGCCUCCAACCACCAAUCGAGGUCGAACCAGGAACCGCCCAGCACACACAUGCUCGGGGUGAAGGGAGCCUACCUUGCAGACACAGCCCAGCCGCGGCGAGGCGAGGGCCAGAGGGGCGGCGCGGCGACCCCUGAAGACGAGGGAGGCGCCUGCGAGGGCGGCGGGGCGAGGGCCCGACGACGCCGGGUCACCAGCGCGGCGCAGCGGCGGGUGGGGCGGGGAGGUGGCGCUGGGGCCGCGGGCGCCCAGAUCCGGAGAUCCGUGGGCGGAGUGGCAGGUGGGUGGGGAGGAGGCCGCGCGGCGGGGAUGCGGCCGGCCGACGGCACGGGGGAGGGGGGUNNNNN